rnacentral:rRNA from 1 species
UCCCGCUGAAUUUAAGCAUAUAAGUAAGCGGGGGAAAAGGAACUAAAUAGGAUUCCCUCAGUAAUGGCGAAUGAACAGGGAUGAGCUCAGGCUGGAAACCGAUACAUCUGUGUCGGGCUGUAGCCUGCAGGCAUAGCGCUAUCGGCGGCUCGAGCGCAAGCCUCUUGGAAUAGAGCGUGUGCCCGGGUGAGAAUCCUGCAUUUCGCUCGAUGUCCGCUGUCCACAGUGCUUAUCCUGAGAGUCACGCUCCUCGGAAUUGGAGCGUAAAUCAGGUGGUAAGUUUCAUCCAAAGCUAAAUAGAAGCUCGAGACCAAUAGCAAACAAGUACCAUGAGGGAAAGAUGAAAAGGACUUUUUGGAAAGAGAGUUAAAAGUGUUUGAAAUUGCUGAGAGCGGGGCGAACGGAGCCACAUGUCGUGCUGAGAUUGCUGUGGGUCUUUGUGAGCCUUGAGCAUGUAAGCGCAGGCUGACUGCUUAUGUGUGAGCAUUUGCCCGCAGUGUUUCUCAGCAUGCGAGUCAUUAGCCACAUUUGUUUGAGGAUGGCCUUCAGCUCACAUGGUAGACUUGUUAGUGUUCCUCUGUGCGGUGUGGGACUCAGACAGGUGUGGCU